GGAGAGGUAAGCUAAAUGAAGCUAAUAGGUUCAUACCCUGUGUAUGGAGGUUACUCCCCUCUCUA
rnacentral:tRNA from 1 species